rnacentral:rRNA from 1 species
UACGUAGGGUGCGAGCGUUAAUCGGAAUUACUGGGCGUAAAGCGUGCGCAGGCGGUUAUGUAAGACAGGUGUGAAAUCCCCGGGCUUAACCUGGGAACUGCAUUUGUGACUGCAUAGCUAGAGUACGGUAGAGGGGGAUGGAAUUCCGCGUGUAGCAGUGAAAUGCGUAGAUAUGCGAAGGAACACCGAUGGCGAAGGCAAUCCCCUGGACCUGUACUGACGCUCAUGCACGAAAGCGUGGGGAGCAAACAGG